rnacentral:lncRNA from 1 species
CUAGACAGUCAUCCUAGACCACUCUCUAAAAAAGGACUGGGGAUGUAGCUCAGUGAUCCCUAGUACCUCAAAAGAAAAAAAUCUACAUCUAGCUCUUCAAUGGCUCCUGGCAUGGUCCACAGGGCUCUUUAAGCAUUCGCCAUGUCCUCCAAAUGCUUCCUAUGCUCUUACCAUGAAAAGACACUUGCAGUCUCCUGGCAAACAGUGUUCUCCUAGGCCUCUCUUCUUCGGACCUGCCAUAUGCUCCCUCCUCCUUCCUUCUCUCCAGCCCAAUUGCUUGUCCACUGAGAUUCUAUCACUCUACCUGUUUUCAUGAUCCCACUCCUCUUGCUGCCUCAAGAACUUUGCUUUUAGUCAAGUAUGGUGGCACACACCUGUCAUCUCAGCUGCUCUGUAGACUGGCAGGAGGGGAUGGCAAGUUGGAUCCCAGCCUGGGUAACUUAACGAGAUCCUGUCUCAAAAUAACUUUUUUUAAAAUAAAGAACUGGGGAACAGCUCAGUUGUAAAGCAUCCCUGGGUUCAAUCUUCUCAAUCCCCCAUACAAAAACAGGUUUGGUUGUUUUUUUGUUUGUUUGUUUGUUUGUUUUUGUUUUGGUACCAGGGAUUGAACUCAGGGGCACUAAACCAAUGAGCCACAUAACCAAUCCUAUUUUGUAUUUUAUUUAGAGAUAGGGUUGUACUGAGUUGGUUAGCACCUUGAUUUUGCUGAGGCUGGUUUUGAACUCAUGAUCCUCUUGCCUCAGCCUCCUGAGCCGCCGGGAUUACAGGCAUGUACCACCACUCCCAGCGAAACUUUAUGGUUUUUUAGUUGUCCCCUUCUCUUAUCAUAUCAGGGACUUCCCUGAACAGGAGCUGAGCACACCCCCUUAGCCUUGAGUAAUGGGGGUGUGGAACUGGCAUCGCACUCAGUGCAAAGCAAGUCUGCCUUACCUUCACUUGGCAAGGAAAUGCAGCACUGGGAUUGGGUGUCACCCAGUGGGACUGGGCUAUAGCCCCUCUGUUUGUUGUUAACACAAUCCCUUGCCUUACUUGGGUGGAAUAUUCUAUCAAAAGUCUUUCCCUGAUAAAUAUCGGGGUUUGGGAUGCACUUGUUCUCUUGCUCCUUCCAAUGCUGAAGCUGACCCUUGGGGUCACUGAGCCAUCCUGCCCUUGAUCUCAGAAACUUAUGUUGGUGUGCUGCAUGGUUUCUUCGCUGUUUUCUUAGUUAUUGAUACAGCCAGUUUCUUUGAACCCAGCUCAUCUCGUUAGUCUGGAUAGCUGGUGACCCUCAUCCAUCAUUGCUGUUAAGAUAUAAUAAUUUCUCCUUGAUACUAUAUCCCAUUAGCUUAAGGGUUUUCUAUAUUCUCACUAUUCAGUGGACCAACAUCAUUGGCAUUACUGGGCACUCCAUAUUUUAGAUAUAUAGGAUCUUAAGCCACACCUCCAACCUCCUGGGAAGUUAUAUGCACUUUUUUUUGGGGGGGAGGGUAGGUACCAGGGAUUGAACUCAGGGGCAUUCAACCACUGAGCCGCAUCCCCAGCUCUAUUUUAUAUUUAGAGACAGGGUCUCACUGAGUUGUUUAGCGCCUCGCUUUUUGCUGAGGCUGGUUUUAAACUCACAAUCCUCCUGCCUCAGCCUCCCA